rnacentral:rRNA from 1 species
AUGGGAGAGGCAUCGCCGGAGUCCAGCGGCGCGGUGGCCGGAGGGCCGUCUGUCCCGGGGCCGCCGAGGAAGGGGAAGUCGUGCAAGGGCUGCCUCUACUACUCGUCGGUGCUCAAAUCCCGGGGAUACAACCCCAUCUGCGUGGGGAUCCCUCGCUCCAUCCCCCAAGUCCCGGGCUUCGUGGUGGAAGAGCCUAGGGAGGAGGCCGCGGCGCAGGGGCAUGAUCUGAGACAGUUCAAAUACGCCUGUGCCGGUUACUCCAUGUUCGUCGACGACAGAGACGCCAAAAGCGGCGAGAAUGACGCCAAGGCGCUGUUGCCGUAUUGCCAGGGCCUCGAGCUAUUGGUGGACAGCAGAAUGGUCGAGAGAAAAUCACCCGCUGUAGAGCAUGCUUCAACGCGUAAUCCGAAACCAAAAGAAGCUGCUGCUGCUGCUGCUGCCACGCAGCCUCUGGAGCAAGGACAGCGACCACAGCUGGCGAGACAGGAAUUCAUGGCGAGGUUCAGGAGGAGCGCCGGGCUGGUGGCCUCAGGGGUCGCCAAGAACCUCAACAAAACGGGCAGCUACAUCAAGCAAAACGUCGAGGACAUAUUUUCCCCUGACCGACGGCCACCACCCAAGCAGUAG